ensembl:lncRNA
CGGCCCUCAAAUGCGUCCUUCAUUUCCCUGAAUUUUAAGGAUAUGGCGAUGUAGACUUCGUGGCCCAACAUAUCCCAGAAUGCAUAGCGCAGCCCGGCCAAUUCAGUUUGCAAUGAUGGCAGCAAGUACAGACGUGGCAGAAACAGCGGCGGAGGGCACCCACAUCCAUAAAUGUAGGUUACGUCGGAAGUACCGACACAAUUGUCAAAAUGCAAAAGAUAAUGGCGGUGUAACUGUACAUGUCACGGUGAAUUCAUUCUCAGCCGUCACACGUAGGUGACUGUAAAUACACAGUCCCGCUGAUUUGUAACUGGUCGGUUUUUAUAUUACCCUGUGAGGGUCACCGACAAAAACCUGAAGAUAACAAAAUACAAAAAUGUAGCCGUGUAAACUCCAAAUAUCUGCGCAAUGUGGCAACACAUCACAUAUCUGCACAAGUGCGCUGACGUUGUCGGAGACAUCUGUUACCGAACAGCGUACUCCGUUCCAACGCCCCCGCCCGCGCUCUGUCGCCACUCAGGUUAAACAUGUCACAGAAGUCACCCAAAUAACUUACAAAUGUUAUUGCUUGGCCUAUGACAGUGUUGCAUUUGUUCCUGAGAAAAUCGGCUUGGCUGAGAGUGAAGUUGGGAGUCUGCACACAGCUGAAUGUGCAAACCUAUCAUACUACACGUCAAACAGAAAAAUGAUGACACAGAAGUGUAAGAUGGUAGAAAAUGUACUCCGAUGUCCUGUCAUAUUCCAGGGAGUAAGGAGGAGAUGGCUGAGCUCAUCAAACUCCGGGGUGAAAACAAACACCUGUUCACUGGUGCCAGGAACUCAGCCGCUGCGGGUUGGAGGGCAAUCCUGGAGCAGAUGGGCCUGGCGGGCCAAAUCACCCCGUUGCAGGCGGGAAAAAAAAUGGGACAAUCUAAAGAAAAAAUACAAAGAUUGCAAGUAUCCCGCAUCAGGUGAGGGGGUGAGUGGGAAGACCACUGCUGCCACUUGGCCCUGGUUUGUCCCAAUGGAUGAGGUCCUAGGACAGAGGCCUUCUACCAGGCCUCCAGUCCUAAUUGCCUCCAUGCAGGAGGACACUCCAGGGCCCAGUACAGCAGUGGGCACCCAAGAGCAGGAUGUGGAACGGCGGGAGAAUGAGGCCCAGCUGGAGGCACGGCCAGAAAAGAGGAAGAGGGACAGGGAGGAUGAAGUCCUGGAAUUGAUAAAAAAGGACAUGAGGAUACAGAGGGAGAUUGAAGAAAGACGUGCUGAGCGAAUGGACAGGAUCAUAUGUCUACUGGUUGUGGAAAAACAAAAUGAGUAAGGUAGUGUGAAUAGGACCCAUUGUACAAACACUUACAGUUGUCAUAUUUAUGUUUGUGCAGGAUAUGUGAAAUGUGGACGAAAUAAUUUAAGUUCUGUUAAUACAAGUUGCACUUUUUAUUUGAAUUGUUGAACAAAUGUGAAAAAUGAACAGAAUGUACAAAGUCCUGUGAAUAAAAAAA